CCCGCCUUCCCGCGCUCCCAUUGGCCCCCGCAGGCCCCGUGGGCGGCACCCUCUGUGGCCUGGUUGGUGGGGGAACAGGGAGGCGCCAUCUUGACGGAGUGCCGGGCGCAGAGACGGAUUUGGCCUCCGGGAAGAGGAAGAGGCAGGCUCCACGCAAGGAGCCCAGCGUGGGACUGGAUCCCAGGUCUCCAGGAUCAGGCCCUGGGCUGAAGGUGGCGCUAAACCGCUGAGCCACCUGGGCGGCCCUAGCACAGGAAUUUAAAAGGCUCUACCUAAUCCAGACUCACUCUCUUUCAGUUACUCUGCUGUUCCUUCAGAUCCUGAGCCAAGGUGAAGAACAGGCGGAGGCAAUUAUUGCUAAGUAAGAAAGAUUUGAAAGAUGACAAUAAGACCUCAUGCCCAAACAUACCUUCUCCCUUCUUCAACUCAUAUCAGAUGGCUGAAGCACCAGUAUUGACAGUUAUUUUGUUGAGAUUUUAUUUUAUUUACUCAUGAGAGAUACAGAGCAGGAGAGAAAGAGGCAGAGACACAGG